UACGUAGGGCGCAAGCGUUGUCCGGAAUUAUUGGGCGUAAAGAGCUCGUAGGCGGCCUGUUGCGUCCGCUGUGAAAUCCCCGGGCUCAACCUGGGAACUGCAUCUGUGACUGCAUAGCUAGAGUACGGUAGAGGGGGAUGGAAUUCCGCGUGUAGCAGUGAAAUGCGUAGAGAUGUGGAGGAACACCGAUGGCGAAGGCAGCCCCCCUGGGUCAAGAUUGACGGCUCGAUGCACGAAAGCGUGGGGAGCAAACAGG
rnacentral:rRNA from 1 species